rnacentral:rRNA from 1 species
GCUUAACUACGAGCGGUCAUUGGAAACUGGAAGACUUGAGGACAGAAGAGGAGAGUGGAAUUCCACGUGUAGCGGUGAAAUGCGUAGAGAUGUGGAGGAACACCAGUGGCGAAGGCGACUCUCUGGUCUGUAACUGACGCUGAGGCGCGAAAGCGUGGGGAGCGAACAGGAUUAGAUACCCUGGUAGUCCACGCCGUAAACGAUGAGUGCUAGGUGUUAGGGGGUUUCCGCCCCUUAGUGCUGCAGUUAACGCAUUAAGCACUCCGCCUGGGGAGUACGGCCGCAAGGCUGAAACUCAAAAGAAUUGACGGGGGCCCGCACAAGCGGUGGAGCAUGUGGUUUAAUUCGAAGCAACGCGAAGAACCUUACCAGGUCUUGACAUCCCUUUGACCGUCCUAGAGAUAGGGCUUUCCCUUCGGGGACAAAGGUGACAGGUGGUGCAUGGUUGUCGUCAGCUCGUGUCGUGAGAUGUUGGGUUAAGUCCCGUAACGAGCGCAACCCUUAAUAUUAGUUGCCAGCAUUAAGUUGGGCACUCUAAUGUGACUGCCGGUGGCAAACCGGAGGAAGGUGGAGAUGACGUCAUAUCAUCAUGCCUCUUAUGACCUGCGCUACACACGUGCUACAAUGGAUGGUACAACG